UACCAUCAUCUUUACUGUGCCCAUCACCUCCCCUCUCCUUUCUCUCUCUAGCACAUGCCCUUUCUCUCUCUUGAUGUCCCUUUGUUGGAGCUUUUAGAGAGGUGGGCGGCAACAUUAUUUUGGUGUCAAUUGGUUGGCAUCAAGUUAUUGUUUGGUUUCAUCUUCUUCCUCUCAAAUUGUUGGGAGUUAGUUACAACCACUUUUUGAUUGUUGUUCUUCUUGAUUAGUUGAGGGAUCAAGAAAAGUUCUUGAUUUCUUCAAGAAUCAAGAAAGAAAAAUCAAAAAGUUUUAUAAUUUCAAGCCUAUCCAAGCUUGGUUCAAGCCUAUUUAGGCUUUUGAUUCAGGCAAGCA
rnacentral:lncRNA from 1 species